rnacentral:rRNA from 1 species
CAGUAGCCGCGGGAAUACAGAGGGUGCGAGCGUUAAUCGGAUUUACUGGGCGUAAAGCGUGCGUAGGCGGCUUCUUAAGUCGGAUGUGAAAUCCCUGAGCUUAACUUAGGAAUUGCAUUCGAUACUGGGAAGCUAGAGUAUGGGAGAGGAUGGUAGAAUUCCAGGUGUAGCGGUAAUGCGUAGAGAUCUGGAGGAAUACCGAUGGCGAAGGCAGCCAUCUGGCCUAAUACUGACGCUGAGGUACGAAAGCAUGGGGAGCAAACAGGAUUAGAUACCCGCGUAGUCCCUGUCUUUUAUACAC